rnacentral:lncRNA from 1 species
UUUGACCUUCCGAUAGCCAAUGAAAAUAGGGCCUGUACAGUGAGUGAUGGGAAUGGAUAAAAGGAUUUGGUGGGUGGGAGGAAGGCUGAAGGAAACGCGGUGAAAGAAAUGUGUUUUUGGAUGCUUUGAUCACAGCUGGCUCCAAAACCCAUCCAUGGCAGAUGGCAAUGGAUGGCUCAUAUACCAUUGCAUAUGCAUACAAUUAGACCUUGCCAAGUGCAAACACACAUAUAGUAUGCUACCCACCAACAUGAAUGGUUCUUACCAUCACACUACGUUGUACUGUGUGUUAAAAAGAGUGUUGCCGAUGUUCUGCUUUCAGGCUGAGUCACCAAGGGGGGCCCCCGCCCAUGCAUAGCCUAGAAGAUAUGAUGAGUGCUAGGUGGGCAGGUUCGUCUAGAUGAUAACUAGUAGCUAGCAUAGGAGGUUGAUAAGGUGGUUGUGUGUAGGCUGCGCUGCUUCGAAAGGAUGGCUGCAACCGCGAGGUAGGGUCUUCACAGCAGCAGUCUUAUGGAGAUGCACCCGGUGCCUAUCACUGCUGCACUAUAGUAACACGGCGUGUCCGAAAUUGGUGAACUAUUACUACUCUUAAACCUCUGGAAUGCGAGAGUAAUUACAAAUACGGCCCGAAGUUAGGGUGUUUUUCUUCUCUUACAGAAUAUGGGCCUGAGCCCUCCCUGAGCCCUCCCAGAAAGGAAGAGAUACCGCAUGAUGACAUCUUCCGGGUUGCAAGGGACUUUGGCGCUAAGGCAAGCACGGUGGACGUGCUUACGGUUGUCCACAUUUCACAUCAGUGGCAACUCCGCAUGCAGCAGACCUGGCCCUCAUUAGGCCCUGCGAUAUGUCUCAUGUGGUCGAGCCACUCGUGCGUGUGUAAUUCGCGGACAGCUGUACAAUCAACGUUGUGUCCCG